rnacentral:rRNA from 1 species
UACGUAGGGCGCAAGCGUUAUCCGGAAUUAUUGGGCGUAAAGAGCUCGUAGGCGGCCUGUUGCGUCCGCUGUGAAAGCCCGGGGCUUAACCCCGGGUCGGCAGUGGAUACGGGCAGGCUAGAGGUAGGUAGGGGAGAAUGGAAUUCCCGGUGUAGCGGUGAAAUGCGCAGAUAUCGGGAGGAACACCGGUGGCGAAGGCGGUUCUCUGGGCGAUGUCCUGACGCUGAGGAGCGAAAGUGUGGGGAGCGAACAGG